UGCCAUGACAAUGCACAGAAACCGUG
rnacentral:piRNA from 1 species